rnacentral:rRNA from 1 species
GAUGAACGCUGGCGGCGUGCCUAAUACAUGCAAGUCGAGCGAACAGACGAGGAGCUUGCUCCUCUGACGUUAGCGGCGGACGGGUGAGUAACACGUGGAUAACCUACCUAUAAGACUGGGAUAACUUCGGGAAACCGGAGCUAAUACCGGAUAAUAUAUUGAACCGCAUGGUUCAAUAGUGAAAGACGGUUUUGCUGUCACUAUAGAUGGAUCCGUGCCGCAUUAGCUAGUUGGUAAGGUAACGGCUUACCAAGGCGACGAUGCGUAGCCGACCUGAGAGGGUGAUCGGCCACACUGGAACUGAGACACGGUCCAGACUCCUACGGGAGGCAGCAGUAGGGAAUCUUCCGCAAAGGGCGAAAGCCUGACGGAGCAACGCCGCGUGAGUGAUGAAGGUCUUCGGAUCGUAAAACUCUGUUAUUAGGGAAGAACAAAUGUGUAAGUAACUAUGCACGUCUUGACGGUACCUAAUCAGAAAGCCACGGCUAACUACGUG